rnacentral:rRNA from 1 species
UACGAAGGGGGCUAGCGUUGUUCGGAAUUACUGGGCGUAAAGCGCACGUAGGCGGACAUUUAAGUCAGGGGUGAAAUCCCAGAGCUCAACUCUGGAACUGCCUUUGAUACUGGGUAUCUUGAGUAUGGAAGAGGUGAGUGGAAUUCCGAGUGUAGAGGUGAAAUUCGUAGAUAUUCGGAGGAACACCAGUGGCGAAGGCGGCUCACUGGUCCAUUACUGACGCUGAGGUGCGAAAGCGUGGGGAGCAAACAGG